rnacentral:rRNA from 1 species
UCCUGAAACCAUAAGUCUACAAGCUGUGGAAGUAUUUUUAUAAUACAACUGCGUGCCUUUUGCAGAAUGAGCCGACGAGUUACUUAACGUUGCAAGGUUAAGCUUUUAAGAAGCGUAGCCGUAGCGAAAGCGAGUCUGAAUAGGGCGUUUAGUUGCGUUGAGUAGACCCGAAACCGGGUGAUCUAUCCAUGACCAAGGUGAAGCGUAUCUAAUCGUACGUGAAGGCCUGAACCCACUAAGCUGGAAAACUUAGGGGAUGAGUUGUGGAUGGGAGUGAAAGGCUAAUCAAACUCGGUGAUAGCUGGUUCUCCUCGAAAUAGCUUUAGGGCUAGCCUCAUGUGUUGAACAGCGGUGGUAGAGCACUGAUUGGACUAGCGUCCCCACCAGGAUAGCAAACCCAUUCAAACUCCGAAUGCUGCUGUUGGUCGAAAGGCUAAACAUGGGAGUCAGAAGGCGGGGGCUAAGCUCCGUGUUCAAAAGGGAAACAGCCCAGAUCGCCAGCUAAGGUCCCUAAAUAUGUGCUAAGUGGGAAAGGAUGUGGAAUUGCUUUGACAGCCAGGAUGUUGGCUUAGAAGCAGCAACCAUUUAAAGAGUGCGUAACAGCUCACUGGUCAAGCGGUUCUGCGCCGAAGAUGUAACGGGGCUCAAGCACAUUACCGAAGCUGCGGAAUUGGUAAUUGAAUCAAUUGGUAGAGGAGCGUUCUAUACAGGUGUGAAGGAGGAUCGUAAGAAACUCUGGACCUAUUAGAAGUGGUUAUGUCGGCACGAGUAGCGAUAAAACAGGUUAGAAACUUGUUCGCCGCAAGUCUAAGGUUUCCUGGGCAAGGUAACUCCUCCCAGGGUAAGUCGGACCCUAAGCCGAGGCCGAAAGGCGUAGGCGAUGGAAAACAGGCGAAAAUUCCUGUACCACCUUAUGCGCGUUUGAGCGAUGGGGGGACGUGGACGGUAAGACCAUCCAGCGAUCGGAAAUGCUGGUCCAAGCCGGUAGAGGGACUUUCUAGGUAAAUCCGGAGAGUCAUUAACCUUGAGAGGUGAUGGGGAGUCCGCAAGGACAUAAACUGGUCGGCGCGUCUACCAAGAAAAGCCUCUAGCAAGUUCAUAGGGUGUCCGUACCGCAAUCCAACACAGGUAGACGAGGAGAGUAUCCUCAGGCGCUCGAGAGAACUCUCGUUAAGGAAUUAGGCAAAAUUGUCCCGUAACUUCGGAAUAAGGGACGCCUUUUUGGGUGUAACGUUUUACAUGUGAAGCUCAGGGAGGCCGCAGUGAAAAGGCCCAAGCGACUGUUUACUAAAAACACAGGUCUCUGCUAAGUCGUAAGACGAUGUAUAGGGGCUGACGCCUGCCCGGUGCCGUAAGGUUAAGGGGAGAGGUCAGAGUGUCUUCGGACAUUCGAAGCUUUGAACCGAAGCUCCGGUAAACGGCGGCCGUAACUAU